CCUACGGGGGGCAGCAGUGAGGAAUAUUGGUCAAUGGGCGCGAGCCUGAACCAGCCAAGUCGCGUGAGGGAAGACGGUCCUAUGGAUUGUAAACCUCUUUUGUCGGGGAGCAAAAGACGCCACGCGUGGCGUUCCGAGAGUACCCGAAGAAAAAGCAUCGGCUAACUCCGUGCCAGCAGCCGCGGUAAUACGUGGGAUGCGAGCGUUAUCCGGAUUUAUUGGGUUUAACGGGUGCGCAGGCGGAAGAUCAAGUCAGCGGUAAAAUUGAGAGGCUCAACCUCGUCGAGCCGUUGAAACUGGUUUUCUUGAGUGAGCGAGAAGAAUGCGGAAUGCGUGGUGUAGCGGUGAAAUGCAUAGAUAUCACGCAGAACUCCGAUUGCGAAGGCAGCAUACCGGCGCUCAACUGACGCUCAUGCACGAAAGUGUGGGUAGCGAACAGGAUUAGAUACCCGGGUAGUC
rnacentral:rRNA from 1 species